rnacentral:rRNA from 1 species
AUAUGGAGGGUGCAAGCGUUACUCGGAAUCACUGGGCGUAAAGCGCGCGCAGGCGGUCUUUUAAGUUGGAUGUGAAAGCCUACGGCUCAACCGUAGAACUGCAUCCAAAACUAUUAGACUAGAGUGUGGGAGAGGAAGAUGGAAUUAGUUGUGUAGGGGUAAAAUCCGUAGAGAUAACUAGGAAUACCAAAAGCGAAGGCAAUCUUCUGGAACACUACUGACGCUGAGGCGCGAAGGCGUGGGGAGCAAACAGGAUUAGAAACCCGAGUAGUCC